AUUGAACGCUGGCGGCAGGCCUAACACAUGCAAGUCGAGCGAGCGGCGGACGGGUGAGUAAUGUAUGGGGAUCUGCCCGAUAGAGGGGGCUAACUAGUGGAAACGGUGGCUACUACCGCAUACUAUAGGCUGAUCCCAGAUGGGAUUAGCUAGUAGGGGGGGUAAAGGCUCACCUAGGCGACGAUCUCUAGCUGGUCUGAGAGGAUGAUAAGCAACACGGGAACUGAGACACGGCCCAGACUCCUACGGGAGGCAGCAGUGGGGAAUAUUGCACAAUGGGCGCAAGCCUGAUGCAGCCAUGCCGCGUGUAUGAAGAAGGCCUUCGGGUUGUAAAGUACUUUCAGCGAGGAGGCGUUACCCGCAGAAGAAGCACCGGCUAACUCCGUGCCAGCAGCCGCGGUAAUAC
rnacentral:rRNA from 1 species